GUUCACAGUAGUGUAUACAUUGUAGAAACAUUUAAAAUAGGUCUGCUCAUUAUCAGUUAUAUUUCAUUCAAGUGAAGCUUUUGUUUUUUUCACCUGACUAUGAAAAGCAUUUGCUUUGAUUCUGAUUUGUCUUCUUUCCAUUUUCAGUUACAUUAAUUAUACCUCAGUUAUGUUUGCAUGCAUAAUUUAACAAUUUACCUAAAGAAAAAUGGCAAGUAAAAAUUCUCUGGAUGUUGUAAACCAUUCCAGUCCACAUAAGAAUAAAGUCUAAUAAUUUUUUAUUUUAUUUUUUUUUACCACAUUUUGAUCAUAUUUUAUUGAUAGUCACACAGUUUAUGGACAUUUGAGUUAACAACAGUAACCAAGGGGGGCUGAACUUAGCAAAGUGCCAGUUCACACAAAUCAUUGGAAUAGUGAGUUGAACUGGUAGCAAGAGUUUCAAAUGCUCUCUUUCAUUAACUUGUUUGCUUUGCAUGUUUUAUCUCAUGAAAUGGCUCAACAAAUGCAGUUCUCUGUCCGGUGAAGACAUAUUUCCUGUUGAAACAGGAAGUUUGGGUGCCACUCAUCAAAUGACUUGUACAAUUUUUAAAAAGUCAGUAGGCUUGCUACAUCACAUCCAUAUACUAUGAUUUGCAACUUUGGGGGAGGGAAAUCUCUUUCUAGAGUGCAUUUGAUUGGACAAAAAUCAGGAAAAGAAAGUGAUACGACAUGAGUGUGAAAUCAAGACAGGUGUUAUCACCUAAGACCCCCCAACUCUGCUGCUCGACACAAAGUCAUCCAUCACCACAGCAACAGUGCCCGACAUUGCCUGGGAAGCGAGGGACUGCCAGGGCAGAUGGAAGAGAGGCAGCUCAACUGGUCUUCCAGCAUCAGGUGGUCUGGGAAUGAUAGAGAGAGACUGAAAGAGACAGAGGGCAUCUUCCUUUGACACCAAGAAGUAAAAAAAAAAAAAAAAACUUUCUUUUUGACACACAGACAGUAAAGACAGGUGUGUCUGUGACUGGAACUCCCAGCUGGAAACUCUAGAAAUAAAUGUACAAAGCCUUCUCA
ensembl:lncRNA